rnacentral:misc_RNA from 1 species
GACGAAUCUUGAAUCUGAACUGCUAUUGUUUCAAGCAAUAAUCAUACUUCCUGAAGCACAAAUGUUUUUUCAGAGGCUUGGAAGUGUAGAACACAAACAAACUUGAUGGAUGUAUAAUAUGUUCGAAAUAGCCUUGUGGAUUUUGACAGCAGGCCGCGAAUCCCAUCCCCAACAAAACAACACGCUACUUAGCAUCCGUAACCUAUCAUCCCUAUAGCCAAAUUGUCCAUUACAUGCUACCGCACAGAAAUUACAUUCAUCAACCGAAAUCCGAAAAAACUCAUGUCCUGGGCACUAGAUAAACCCUAGCCUUGAUGACUGAUCCAUUUCCAAGCUUGAAC